rnacentral:tRNA from 2 species
GGCCCCGUCGUCUAGAGGCCCAGGACGCCGCCCUCUCAAGGCGGUAGCGCCGGUUCGAAUCCGGUCGGGGCUA